AGAGUUUGAUCAUGGCUCAGAAUCAACGCUGGCGGGNNNNUAACACAUGCAAGUCGCACGAGAAAGCGGGAGCAAUCUCGCAAGUACAGUGGCGUACGGGUGAGUAACACGUGGAUCAUCUACCCUGGAGUGGGGAAUAACGCUGGGAAACCGGCGCUAAUACCGCAUAUUCCCGAGAGGGGAAAGCAGCAAUGCGCUCGAGGAGGAGUCCGCGGCCGAUUAGCUAGUUGGUAGGGUAAAAGCCUACCAAGGCUGUGAUCGGUAGCCGGCCUGAGAGGGCACACGGCCACACUGGCACUGAAACACGGGCCAGACUCCUACGGGAGGCAGCAGUGGGGAAUCUUGCACAAUGGGGGAAACCCUGAUGCAGCGACGCCGCGUGAGCGAUGAAGCCCUUCGGGGUGUAAAGCUCUUUCGGCAGGGAAGAUUAUGACGGUACCUGCAGAAGCAGCUGCGGCUAACUACGUGCCAGCAGCCGCGGUAAUACGUAGGCAGCAAGCGUUGUUCGGAGUUACUGGGCGUAAAGGGUGUGUAGGCGGCCUGUUAAGUUCCGUGUGAAAUCUCCCGGCUCAACCGGGAGGGUGCGCGGAAAACUGGCGGGCUAGAGUGCGGGAUGGGAGAGUAGAAUUCCUGGUGUAGCGGUGAAAUGCGUAGAUAUCAGGAGGAAUACCGGUGGUGUAGACGGCUCUCUGGACCGCAACUGACGCUGAAACACGAAAGCGUGGGUAGCAAACAGGAUUAGAUACCCUAGUAGUCC
rnacentral:rRNA from 1 species